GCCCUGGUAUCCCAAUUGGUAGAGGAGACAGCCUCAAAAUCUGUACAGUGUGGGUUCGAGUCCCACCCGGGGCAC
rnacentral:tRNA from 1 species